CUAGCGCUUCCGGUCAACAGGAGGCGGGGCGAGGCGGAAGCGGCGCUUUCCCCACGUGGACUCUAUUAAUUGUUGAGAAAGAGUCAGGGCGAGUUUAGUGCACUGUGGCAGCUUUGAGAUAAAGUCUGGUUCUUCCCCAGCUCGCUCAGGAAAUGUUCGCGGAUAUAAUGACAGCCGUCUCUAGGCACACCUGUCUGUGGAGCGGAGAGUGAACAGGUAACCACCGUGUGAAUGGGAAUGGCAAGACAGCAAAGGCUCGCUCAGUGAGCGACGCAACACCAGCGUGGGUUGCGGCCUCCCCAUCAAGUUGCAUGUCACUAGCUUUCUGUGGCUGUCACUGCUGGGCCCAGGUGCCUCUGAAGAUCAGCACCUCCUCAUGGGCUCAAGCAAGGACAGGAGCCAUUCACCCAUGAGCUCGAAAGAACAGAGCCGCUGUCCUGCCUCGAUGGCUCCACCGUAUCUCCAGUGGACUUUGGACAAUGGGGAGCUGGCCCAGUAAGUCCACCCGUGUGUGGUCACUUGGCUUUUUUUUCACCCAGCCCCCAGGUACUGUUGCUGCUCCUGUCUGAGGCCCCAUCCACAGCCACAGCUGUGGCGGGGUGGCUGGUGGUGGCCAGUGUGGCCCUGCUGCAGCUCCAUGCUGGGGAGGGGUGUGGCCCAAAAAGCAACUACCCCUUCAUGUGGGCCAGUGGGGAGGAUCCUAGGAAGCAGCCCUGGCAAGGUGAGUGGACGUGUUGAUGUGGUGAGAGGUGAGAAGCAGUACUGCUCCCAGAGCCCUGUGAUUCCUGGGGGGAGGAGGCUCGCAGAUGCCUUGCCUGCUCUCCUCCUGGGUGCUUUCCUGUUCCCAGGGCUGGGACCUUGGAGGGAGUCUGUGUCUGCCCAUGUUCGAGGGCCCAGCAUAGGCAGGCCCUCUGGGGAGCCCUUCGUGGCUUGUGGGGAGUCUGGGGCAGGGCAAGGGACAGCAUCUUCCACCCACCACAGGCCUUGGGAGGCGUCUGUCCUGAAGGCCACCCCUGUGGGAAGGCCUCUUUCGUGUGACUCCUUCCCCAUGAAACGGCUUCUCCAUACUGUUCAGCCCCACAGGUGCCCUGAGAAAACACAAUGUGCUUUCUCACACAUCACAGCCCCCAGAGAAGAGUUUGGUUACAGAGAAUCUGACAGUUCAUGGCCUCCUGAGGGUGGGUCAGUGGGAAAAGUCCCCAGGGGAGCUUGGGGCCCAAGGCCUCCCACGGCCCGGGUGUGGCUGCCCACUGGGAGGCCCACAUUGCCUCAGUGUCCUGCGUUCGGGGUGCCUGAGGGCUGGAAGGGGAGCAAGGGCCGGGGACCAGCGGCUCACAGGGACCUGGGGAGAUGGGGAGAACUGUGGAGGCAGCCUUCCCAGCCGUCCCACCCAGGGAAGGAGUGGCCAGGGUUGGAAGAAAUACAGCACUACCUUGGCCUUGGUCUUGGCCUCAGACCCGAGGGUCUGGCUAUAGCUGUGGUGGCAGCUAUGUCGUAGGGGCGGCAUCAUGGCCCUGGCAUUGGCCCCAGGACUGUGGGCCAGCACAGACCAUCACGAAGUUUCUGCUGGGCUCGGUGUGGGAGCCCCUCCUAGCCAUGGAGACAGGCCACGUCAGCCCCCCAGGAUCUGUUGCCCGACAGCUCUCAGUCUUUUGCCUGGGGCCUCUGUGUCACGUGGAAUCAUUCUGAGUUCUCUGCUUUCUGGCGGCGACAUCUUCUACGCACUGCUUACUCCGCAGACCGUCCUGCCUUCCUGUUAGAAGCCAUCCGUGGGCACUCCAGUGUCACCUGUGGUAACUCCUGCAUUUUGCCAGGCUAUGGGAUGUGGAGACUGAAGAGUCCAACUUGGCCAGAAACCUGACCCUCACUCAUUCCUCAGAGAGGCCUCACAUUGAGCAGGGACAGCCAGCAGCUGGAGAGAGUGGAGCCCUGACACUGGCUCCAGAACAGAGGUGCUCUCUGACACCCCUUUCAUCCAGCAUGUUCUCCGUGAGCACCUGCCGUGGCCCGGGCCUCAUUCUGUGCUGCCGGCUGAGCCCAGCUCUCGUGGGCUUGCGUGAGGCUGACUGCCGUGUGAGCUGCAUGUGAUCUUCAGUGAGGAGUAGACACGCAGGGCGGAGGUGGGGGGGUAGGACGGCAUGUGCUCGCAGACACUGGAUGAUACGAAAGAGGCUCUAGCGAAGGAAAGGACAAGCUGCGGAGGAAGCAGAGCGCUGAAGGGAGGGACAGUGCGAGGGCCUGAAACUGUCAACCUGAAACAAGCAGUAGAGUCUGCAAAUGAGCCCCAGGGCCAGCCCUGGGGAGGAAGCAGCAGUGACGUGAGGUUCUUGUCAGAAGCCUCUAGGGGCAGGGUAGGGCCUGUACUGAGGACAGACACGCCCAUGGUCUUUGAGGAGCUGUAGGGUGAGCUUCUGGUGGAAGCAGUUUCCAUGUCCUGGCACGUGCUGUCUCGUUAGGACAUCAGACAUGACCCUGGAGUUCACAUGAGGAUGCAGAGGUCUUCCGUUCCAGAGGACACUUGGCUGGGCAGAGGGACACGGCCUUGCGUCCCUGGUGCGCUCUUGUUGUCUGGCACACCGCUGAAUGGGACAUCUGUGGCUGGAAGAUGUCCUUGUGGCCUGUGCUAGUUAGACCAGCCUGGCUGGUUAUCAGUCUACAUCCUCACCCACUCCCCUUUUCAGUGAGUUAUUCCCGGUCCCACAGGCUCUGCCUCUGGUGUGGAAGAGGCAUACCCGCCAAGGACCAGAGGAGCUGGCCACCGUUCAGAAGGCCCCAGCUCGAAGGCCAGUAGACCCGCCCGGAAGCUCCACGCAGGCAAGCUUGCAGAGAUUAAUUUAACGCAAGAAUGCUGCAGAUCCUCAGGGUUGGUGUAAAAAUAGCUCAUCCUGAUGUGAGAAAGCAGUCAGCUUUUCUUGUUGCCAUUGGCUGCCAGCACCCAUUCUUUGUGGAUGUGAAAAUGCCACAGGUGCUGCACUUCCUCCUCAGGCAUUCCGCAGCGCCCAUGCCUGUCUCCAGAGUGGGGCCCAGGAUGGACGCGUGUACCCCACUCUGUCCCCUGAUGUGGAGCUUGGCCCUGCAGCUCAACAGCACCCAUGGAAUGUGGACAGAAGUGACAGCAGCCAGCUCUGCCUCUUCACUGAGGCGGCACAUGUUCUGCAUGUGCCCUGGGAGCCUCCACCUUCCACACUGUGGGAAGAGGGUGCCCAGGGAGCUGCAGUCCCUCCACCCUAGCCCAGGACAAGGCUCAGGAGCAGAGCCAUCCCCACCGACCUGCACCUCACAGCCCUGCAGGUGUGAGGGAAGUGCGUGUUGUACACACUGAGUUUUCAGGUGGCUGUGACAUGGCAGCAUUGCCUGACACGGACAGAAAAGAGAUCCGCCAGGGAGAAGUGAGAGUCUGGAGACCCCGCAUCGGAGAGGCCACAGGCUGCAGGGGCAGGAUGGCUUCUUAGAAGGUGAAAUGAUUCUUUUGGAAAUAACGUCAUCCCAUCUAACAGAGGAAGACAUGGAGCCUCCAGAUGGUUGAAGGCCCAGCAGUGAUCCCAGACAGGCCGCAUGUCAGACCAGGCUCCUUCAGGGUUGUGCUGCCCUCACCAGAGCCCGUCCUGAGGGCAGCCACACGGUGGGCAGCACUCGCCAUUUGUUCAAGCGAGGCCCAAAUUCCAGCCUGCCUUCUGGCAGGUAGAGGAAGCAGGGGCACCAUGCUUCGGAGGUCCUGAAAGCAGAUGGGGAAGCAUUUGGUCAAGAGCCAGGAGGGGAUGACAGACCAAAGGGGAGCCCUUGUCCCAUGUUCUGAAGGCCGGGGGGCUGGACACUUGCUCGGUGAGCUAUAAUUGGCGUCCCUGUGCCCCACCGGAAGGUGCACCAGGCGUCAUCUUUGGUGGAGAACAGUGGCUGCCCUGGAGCCUUGCGCCCUUCCCCGUCGUGGGUCACUGUCACGUGUGUGUCCAGGAAAGAAAAACACCAAAGGCAGAGGACCAGUCAUUCCCUAGGCCAAAUACUCCAUGGCCUUGCUUAGAGACUGGAUUUUGAUAUGCUGGAGGCUGUCCUAGACUCAGAGAUUGGAAACAGGAAAGAACCAUCAUUGAAACCUUUGGGAAAGCCUGCAGCGGGGCAUCUGGUGGCCUGAGGAGUGGCGGUGUUUCCAUCUGGUAGACACGGUCUCAUGGGGAGGGACGUAGGAGCGCAUGAGCGCUGCCAGCCAGAGGUGUCUGUCAGCGUCUUAUGAAAUGGGCUCCAGUCUUGAAGCUGGUUUACCUUCCUAUUUUUAGUCCCCGCUGGUCCUGCCUUCUCCUUCAUGGCCAGUAGGCCAGACCCAGCACUUUCCUGACUUUCGACCUUGGCCCCUGCUGACACUCGCCCUUGAGGCCUCCUGCAGACCCCAUUUGUAUUCACUUCCUGCAGUUCUCAUACCUGGAUCCCACCUGGGCUUCCCCAAGGCCUUCCAGGCCCUCAUCCCCCGGCGGGGACUACAGACUCCUACACGCAGGGCUGUCCUUGGGAGGGCCAGCGCAGCCCCUUCCAAGUGGGCAAGACCCAGGGAUGGCUCAAAAGAGCUGUGCCUUAGCCCCGGACCUCUGAUGAAUGUUGAUUCAUGUAGCAAGAGGACUUGCAGAUGUGAGUAAAGGCUGGUGAGAUAAGACCAUCAUCCCCGCUAUCUGGGAGGCCCCUAAAUGCAGGCACACACAUCUUCUGAAGAGGAGGCAGAGAUGGGUGACACAGCCACAACCAAGGAAGACCAAGGAUUGCUGGUAGCCCACAGAAACUGGAGGGCAAGGAGGGUCCCUCCAGAACCUGCAGGAAGUAGACCAAGGUCCUGCUGUCAUCCUGACUUCAUACGUCCAGUCUCCAGAACUGAGAGAAGAUCCAUUUCUAUUAUUGUUAAGCAACCAAACUUGUGGUAGUUACAGCAGCCUCAGGAAAUGAAUACAAAUGGAAACUUAAAGAUUCAGAGAAAUGAGUGGGUGCAGUGGACCAUGACUGUAACCCCAGCAUUUGUGUGAGGAUUGCUUGAGGUCAGAAGUUGGAGACCUUGUCUCCAUGAAAAACUUAAAAUAUACGCCAGGCAUGGUGGCUCAUGCCU